rfam:Brachypodium distachyon strain Bd21 chromosome 1, whole genome shotgun sequence.
UAGCAAACGACGAGCUUAUUUUGAUUCCUCUUCAGAACAUCAAAAUGGAUGAAGCAAGAUCGAGCCGCCUCUGAUGCA